UAAAUCCAGUAAAGCCAAAUUAAAGAAAGAAUCUCACCCAUCAUCCAGAUUCUAGACCAUCUCUCCAUGUGCAGCCUCAACAAGCCCAUCACCGCACCGGUCGGAGAAACAAGCUUCGAUGGUCGAAGGAUGCUUGUGUCCAGGCUUGCACGCCUAACGGUACUGGCUCAAUUCUUCUUACCCGACCCUUCCCAUGGGUCCCACCUCCCCCUCACCCAAUACAUAUCCCCCGNCAUAUCCCCCACGUGUCCUCCAAAAUUUCCACCUUGCUCCAUAGCUAUUACUAACCCGCCAAAAUUCGUUUCCUAUAAACGCGGGGUCCGAACUAUAAGCAAAGCAGCCUCUAAACCUACUUCCGAUACCUUCCUUGAAAUGGAGCCACACUCUCUCGAUGCUCAGAAGCUCCGAUUUGACUUCCUUCAAGUCCUCCGUAGCCGGCGAUCCGCCGACGUUCCGCUAUCGGUAGAAAAUGGAAAACCGGUGGCGUCUCCGUUGUAUCAGGAUAAUACGCUACCAACGAGCAAGAGUGAGGCGAUGGAGUCUUGUCCUAAGGUAGAUAUCAAGAAUUUUAAGGAGUUGCUGAAAGAGGAGAAUCUUUAUUUGAUUACUGAGGCAGGAGAGCAAGGGCGUUUGCCUGUGCUAAUUCUGAGUAUGAAAGGAAGCAAAGAAAGAAUGUCUGCAGUGGUUUUCCUGCACAGCACAAACAAGUGCAAAGAGUGGCUGCGGCCCCUGC
rnacentral:misc_RNA from 1 species